rnacentral:rRNA from 1 species
UGAUACGAAGGGGGCUAGCGUUGUUCGGAAUUACUGGGCGUAAAGCGCACGUAGGCGGAUCAUUUAGUCAGGGGUGAAAUCCCGGGGCUCAACCUCGGAACUGCCUUUGAUACUGAUGGUCUCGAGUCCGAUAGAGGUGAGUGGAAUUCCUAGUGUAGAGGUGAAAUUCGUAGAUAUUAGGAAGAACACCAGUGGCGAAGGCGGCUCACUGGAUCGGUACUGACGCUGAGGUGCGAAAGCGUGGGGAGCAAACAGG